rnacentral:rRNA from 1 species
AGUGAACGCUGGCGGUAGGCCUAACACAUGCAAGUCGAACGGCAGCACAGUAAGAGCUUGCUCUUACGGGUGGCGAGUGGCGGACGGGUGAGGAAUACAUCGGAAUCUACUUUUUCGUGGGGGAUAACGUAGGGAAACUUACGCUAAUACCGCAUACGACCUACGGGUGAAAGCAGGGGAUCUUCGGACCUUGCGCGAUUGAAUGAGCCGAUGUCGGAUUAGCUAGUUGGCGGGGUAAAGGCCCACCAAGGCGACGAUCCGUAGCUGGUCUGAGAGGAUGAUCAGCCACACUGAAACUGAGACACGGUCCAGACUCCUACGGGAGGCAGCAGUGGGGAAUAUUGGACAAUGGGCGCAAGCCUGAUCCAGCCAUACCGCGUGGGUGAAGAAGGCCUUCGGGUUGUAAAGCCCUUUUGUUGGGAAAGAAAAGCAGCAGGUUAAUACCCCGCUGUUCUGACGGUACCCAAAGAAUAAGCACCGGCUAACUGCGU